rnacentral:rRNA from 1 species
UNUGGUCUGUAACUGACGCUGAGGCUNGAAGGCGUGGGGAGCGAACUGGAUUAGAUACCCUGGUAGUNCACGCCGUAAACGAUGAGUGCUAGGUGUUGGAUCCUUUCCGGGAUUCAGUGCCGCAGCUAACGCAUUAAGCACUCCGCCUGGGGAGUACGACCGCAAGGUUGAAACUCAAAGGAAUUGACGGGGGCCCGCACAAGCGGUGGAGCAUGUGGUUUAAUUCGAAGCAACGCGAAGAACCUUACCAGGUCUUGACAUCCCGAUGCUAUUUCUAGAGAUAGGAAGUUACUUCGGUACAUCGGUGACAGGUGGUGCAUGGUUGUCGUCAGCUCGUGUCGUGAGAUGUUGGGUUANNNNNNNNNNNGAGCGCAACCCCUAUUGUUAGUUGCCAUCAUUCAGUUGGGCACUCUAGCGAGACUGCCGGUAAUAAACCGGAGGAAGGUGGGGAUGACGUCAAAUCAUCAUGCCCCUUAUGACCUGGGCUACACACGUGCUACAAUGGUUGGUACAACGAGUUGCGAGUCGGUGACGGCGAGCUAAUCUCUUAAAGCCAAUCUCAGUUCGGAUUGUAGGCUGCAACUCGCCUACAUGAAGUCGGAAUCGCUAGUAAUCGCGGAUCAGCACGCCGCGGUGAAUACGUUCCCGGGCCU